UCUGAUAAACGAGGAAUGCCCGUAGCUGCAAUACUUUCCCUUUUUACUUCAAUAAAAUCGCCCGUCCAUCACCCAAUGUCUCGUUUUAAUCUCCUUUAUGCCUUCAUUCUCUAUACCCUUUCACUCCCUUGUUCGCUGUGCGCAGACCUCAGUUAUACAAACUGCCAAAGCAAUCAAACAUGUGGCGAUGUAAAAAUCCCAUAUCCUUUUGGUUUAAGGGAAAGUGGAUGUGGUCUGCCAGACUUACAAGUCGACUGUGAAGAUAAGGGACAUUUGGUACUCGAAAUUGGAAACCAGAGGUACACAAUCUUAAAUUUUUUUCCAGAUAAUCAGACUUCAACAAUUACUGAGGACACGAGUUUCCAAAAUUGUUCAUUUUCAUAUAAUCUCAACGAAGAUGCAAUCCAAGCCUUGGGUUUCUUCGAUCGAAUCGAACGACAUAACAUCAGUGUACAAGUAUUUGUGUGUGGUUUGCAAUGUAAAGCUGCAUUAUCUGGCCUCCAGUUUCCAGGAUGUGGUUUGCAAUGGGUAACUAUAGAAGAGGUAUCAGCCCAUUGGGAAGAGGACCAAGAUCAGAAAUGUGGGAGUUGCCAUUCAAGUGGUGGUCUGUGUGGGUUUAAUAUUUCCGAUUCAAACGAGUUCCUUUGCUUUUAAGAGGAUGCACCCCAUCCAACCACAUGUUCAUCAGGCAAGAGAUCAAAUUAUGGAACUAUAACAGGCAGAACUAUAAAAGGCAGAGAUAUAACAGGAGUAGCCAUUGAGGCAAGUGCUUUCAUAGUGAUAGUAGCACUAUUUCUUAUUGUUGUUUAUCGAAAGAGGUCAUCCUACUUUAGAUGGAUCCAAAGUUGUGUUACAAGCGAACCGAUGAAUUCACGGUCUAUUGGGAAAGUGGAGAAUUUCCUCCAAAGUUAUAAUCAUGAAAG